CCCCACACCCACACCUGGGCGUAUGUGGGUGUUCGACCAGAGAAGAGAAAGAAGGGGGAAACCCCUUCUCAAACCCUAAUCGACCAAAUUGGAUGGAUUUUGGCUGAAAUCGAACUUGCAUGAACAAGAUUCUUGAUUGUUCAACUCUGUAAAACACAUGGAAUCCCAAUGGACAUGGACUCAAGAAUAGAAGGCUAACGGAUCAAGGGUAAAUAAAGAAGCUAUGCACAACUCGGACGCACGAUGUAUUGCACGUAUCUCUACCACUACUAUCGAAGAUAAGCAUGCAUUGAUCGAGCCCAAAAUUAAAGAUUGUACGGGAAGAACGGCCACAUAGUCUGAUUUAUGUAUUGUCUUGAAGCGUUACCUUAAUGUGGUUAUUAUUAAUCCCUUUUUUGUAAAUGUUUAUCAUUUGUAUUUGAGCUUUUAAAUAAGUAAUGGGUCUAAAUAAGAAAGAAAAUUUUUGG
rnacentral:lncRNA from 1 species